CAUAUAUAAUGUAGAUCGCAUUUAUAAAAUUAGAUUUUGAUUUGUAAUAUUAAUUAUUAAAAAUUAGGGUUGGUAUAUGUAAUAUUUAUAAAUCGAGUGCAGAUAAAUUUUUAUAAUUGAGAAGUGGGUUGGAAAGAGAAAUUAUUCCAUGAAAUGGGUGUAUACUGUAGUGCACUGAACUUAAGAAAAUUGCAAGAUUCUAGUGUGAGAAUAGUAUUUUGAACUAUUCUGGAUGUUUUGAGGGUUGUAGGUUGUGUGUUGACCGAUUUUUGGUGUCUUUUAGGUGCGAGAAAAGGUUUCCGAUAUCAAAAUCUGCAAACUUCAGAUUUUAGUGUUGAGUACCGGUACUAAAGUGAGCUACUAGAACCCUAUAGAGUGCUAAAAUGAGCAGCUCUCUGGUGUUGAGGAAUCGGGUUGUGAGUACCGAUACUGGGUUGAGUACUAGUACUGCAUCAGGUUGGUACCGGAACGUAGUGUUAAACCCGAAAUUCUAAUGUACAGGUUCUGCGGGACUGGGCGUUUGGUAUCGAAACAGCAGGUACCGGUACUCUAAUUCG
rnacentral:lncRNA from 1 species